rnacentral:lncRNA from 1 species
AAAGAAGCAGGAAUAGACGCAAGGGCUGGAGCUGGGAGGGAUGGGGGGGGGGGGAGGGAGAAUCCCUCCAGCGGCCCAGCCCCGCCUCCCGAGAUGUGGCAGGCCUCCUCCCUGCCCUACACCUUAGUCCACCACCCUUCCGUCCCCGCCUUGCAGGGAGGCUACCACCGGCUCCCGGGAAGCCCCUCCCGCAGACCUGCCGCUCCCCUGCCUCAGAAGGAGCUGCUCGACCGACAGAUACCAAGGUCGUCUUUGCGCCGGCGUGCGACCCAUUUAAUACGGUAGAGGAUUUAAAACCCUGCACAAGAGCCUACUGCCUGGGGUGGCUCCCAUACCAAAGUCCGAGAAGCGAGGGAAGGGAGACCUCGAAGGAGGGUGACGUGGCUCACCGCUGCUACGAGAUCCAUCGCGGGAAGCCCAUACCCCCACGUGGCGUAUCUCCUGAACCGCGCUUCUUUUUACCUUCUGCCCCGGUAAGACGUUUACCUAACCUCAUCAUCGUUCGUGGUACGAGACGGACGUCGCCACGUAGUGAAAAGCCGAGGCUUCACGGCCCCGGAAGGGCAGAUCGGGAUUAA